GGGCGAUCUGGCUGUGACACCUGUCACCCCAUUGUUCACCGGGGCUGAUUCGGCUGAUCUGGCUUGCUAGGCAGUGUCCCUCCUUUUCCCAUGUGCGGCCCUCUCGAAGUUGUGCACUAGAUCAAAGAGGACGACCUUCCCAGAAUAGACAGUCUUUGAUCAAGGGCAUAUGAUCAGCUAGAACCUCUUAGUAAAAAGAUGACUGCUCUGCUGGCUAGUCCCUAUGAAUUCUGGCUGACAGAGCCCAGUGAAACCCAGUCUGACUUCUGGAGCUUUCUCUG
rnacentral:snRNA from 1 species